GACUUUUUGAUGUGUAGAUGCAGAUGGCUUAGCAUGAUGUGAUAGAGUAGCAGAUGUACUAUGCGGAUUAAUUACAUGUGUAAAUGCAUAAUUGGCCAAUCUGAAGCCAAAGUUUGACUAAAAGUAUGCAUGAUUGAAUAAAGCGGUCAUGCAUUUCGUCGACAAAGUUAAAGGCGUGGGGCUUGUCGGCAGCAUUUGAAUAAGGGUGCUGCAGUCCAUGAACGUGGCCGACUUCACUGACAAUAGAUCUCACAUACAAUUUACAAGAGUGCACCUUUAUCAUUUUGGCUUUAUGCGACAAAGUCACUAAAAGAAACGUGGAAGUUUGAAAAAAAAAAAAAAAAAAAGAAAGAGUUUUACUUUA